GCCGAGCGGUAUUGUUUCUUCGGAAUGAGAGAGCGGCGUACGGGUGCGGAACACGUGUGCAACCUGCCUUUAUCUGGGGGAUAGCCUUUCGAAAGGAAGAUUAAUACCCCAUAAUAUAUUGAAUGGCAUCAUUCGAUAUUGAAAACUCCGGUGGAUAGAGAUGGGCACGCGCAAGAUUAGAUAGUUGGUGAGGUAACGGCUCACCAAGUCUACGAUCUUUAGGGGGCCUGAGAGGGUGAUCCCCCACACUGGUACUGAGACACGGACCAGACUCCUACGGGAGGCAGCAGUGAGGAAUAUUGGACAAUGGGUGAGAGCCUGAUCCAGCCAUCCCGCGUGAAGGACGACGGCCCUAUGGGUUGUAAACUUCUUUUGUAUAGGGAUAAACCUACUCUCGUGAGAGUAGCUGAAGGUACUAUACGAAUAAGCACCGGCUAACUCCGUGCCAGCAGCCGCGGUAAUACGGAGGGUGCAAGCGUUAUCCGGAUUUAUUGGGUUUAAAGGGUCCGUAGGCGGAUUUGUAAGUCAGUGGUGAAAUCUCACAGCUUAACUGUGAAACUGCCAUUGAUACUGCAAGUCUUGAGUGUUGUUGAAGUAGCUGGAAUAAGUAGUGUAGCGGUGAAAUGCAUAGAUAUUACUUAGAACACCAAUUGCGAAGGCAGGUUACUAAGCAACAACUGACGCUGAUGG
rnacentral:rRNA from 1 species